GUGUGGACCCUAUUUAAAAAAAAAAAAAAAAAAAGUGGAAUUUACACUGACUGAACCGAAAAGAACAAAAAAGACGUUUAAGGUUUUAACCCGCUUCGGCCACCUCCCCAGUCCCCACGUGCUUGAUGAAAAAAAAAAAAAAAAAAAAAAAAGACGAGAAUGAACAUCAUCGCUGCGCCCCGGCCUUACGGGGGCCAUCGUCCCGACGUGGGCAGCGGGUGUUUGCCCGGGCCGAGGUCCCACCCCGCCCCGGGGCCUCCCUGCGCUGCCUUUGUGUUAGCGGGUCAGGCACCCCCGCGGCUUCGCCGGGCGGGUGGUCGGCACGGUCCCGGCCUCAGCGGUGACAGACCCCGCCCUGUCAGCUCACCCCGAGGUCUGGGCCUUCUGGAGGCUGCUAGCUAUUCACACAGCAGGGCUGAUGAAAGUGUCGGUCUGCCAGAGCCACGUUGGUUCCCGAUCACAAAUGACACAAUCGCGUUGUACUGGGCCCUUCUCUGGACUCUCUCAACCUUGUUCCGACGGAGGACAUCUAAGCCUGGGAAUUUCAAAUAUGUGGCAGAUACUGAUGGGAGAGGAGCUGCCUUAGUCAAACUCUUUUGAGAAAUGUCAAAUGACAACAAAAGGCAAGACUACUUUUUCUUUGCGUGACAAUUCUUCCAACAGUGAAAUGUUGAAUAGCAGGUUAUGACCAGUCUUGGGAGCAGAGGUGGAGCUGAAGUGGAAAUCAGCUGAUCAGAUGUGAGGGUCCCAGGAGGCCUGUCCAGGACAGGGACUAAGCAUAUUUGGCCAGAAACAACACAGUGACUCCCAGUGUGAAGCACGGAGCUACAACAGCCAUCUUAGGGCCGUGUGGGGAGCUGGCCUAGAAGGACAAACCAGUACUCUGAAGGUAAGGUGGCAAGAACCUGAGCCCUUAGUGACUCAAUUUCUGGUCAAUUAACUAACUGACAUCAUCUGACCUCCAGAAUUCUUGCUAUAUGAGAUGACUCCUUUCACAGUUGUGUACGCCGUUUUGAGUUGGGCUUUCAGUGAUUUGCAUCAGGAGGCUUCUCGAGGGACAGCCCACACUCUCACACUGCGACACACACCUGGGGCAGCAGAUCAAACCCAAACAAGAGGAGCAGGGACUAAAUUCACAACCAGUUGGCCGCUCCCCUGGAUCUUCUAGAAAAACUGUGGUUGGCCUCUCCCCAACUUCCAGAGGACAAGGGUCCAGGGGCAAUGGGAUGUGGUCUGGCACUUAGGAACUGAAGAAGAGUAUCUGCUUUACACCGAGAGUUCAGCUUUUGACGUCAUUCGUGUAGUUACUCAUUACAAGUGUGUAGACACUAGGUAGGAUGUAAGGACAAACAGUGCUGUAGAACAAACAGGGUGCAUCUUCAGGGGCCCCUCCCUUCCACGCUCACCAAUCGCCUUGUUGGUGUCAACCCCACCCCUCUCCACAGGUACCGGUCCCUCUUGCAGACUCUUUGACAGGAGGUAGAAUUCUGUACCAUCUGAGAGUUUGCGUGUGGGCUGGAUCAGGCCCAGCGUGGACCUUGCGCACUAAAAAAUCAGAGUGAGCUCUUAAACAGCACCCUUCUGCUUUGGGGUGAACUCUAUUCCCUAGCCUAUUCCAUACCCACUGGGAACCUAAAGAAGGGCUGGAGUCAGACUUCCUACAGAAAUCUAUUGAUUCAUUCCAAGAGGAGCUCACCAUGCCCUAUUUAAACCUCUGUGGUUUUUUAAAAGUUUUUAUUUAAAUACCAGUUAGUAAACCUACAGUGUAAUAUUAGUUUCAGACGUACAAUAUA